rnacentral:rRNA from 1 species
UACGGAGGGUGCAAGCGUUGUCCGGAUUUAUUGGGUUUAAAGGGUGCGUAGGCGGUCCAUUAAGUCUGGGGUGAAAGCCCGUUGCUCAACAACGGAACUGCCCUGGAAACUGGUGGACUUGAGUACAGACGAGGGUGGCGGAAUGGAUGCUGUAGCGGUGAAAUGCAUAGAUAGCAUCCAGAACCCCGAUUGCGAAGCAGCUCCUA